AUUGAACGCUGGCGGCAGGCCUAACACAUGCAAGUCGAACGGUAACAGGAAACAGCUUGCUGUUUCGCUGACGAGUGGCGGACGGGUGAGUAAUGUCUGGGAAACUGCCUGAUGGAGGGGGAUAACUACUGGAAACGGUAGCUAAUACCGCAUAACGUCGCAAGACCAAAGAGGGGGACCUUCGGGCCUCUUGCCAUCGGAUGUGCCCAGAUGGGAUUAGCUUGUUGGUGGGGUAACGGCUCACCAAGGCGACGAUCCCUAGCUGGUCUGAGAGGGUGACCAGCCACACUGGAACUGAGACACGGUCCAGACUCCUACGGGAGGCAGCAGUGGGGAAUAUUGCACAAUGGGCGCAAGCCUGAUGCAGCCAUGCCGCGUGUAUGAAGAAGGCCUUCGGGUUGUAAAGUACUUUCAGCGGGGAGGAAGGGAGUAAAGUUAAUACCUUUACUCAUUGACGUUACCCGCAGAAGAAGCACCGGCUAACUCCGUGCCAGCAGCCGCGGUAA
rnacentral:rRNA from 1 species